UACGUAGGUGGCAAGCGUUGUCCGGAAUUAUUGGGCGUAAAGCGCGCGCAGGCGGUCCUUUAAGUCUGAUGUGAAAGCCCACGGCUCAACCGUGGAGGGUCAUUGGAAACUGGGGGACUUGAGUGCAGGAGAGAAGAGUGGAAUUCCACGUGUAGCGGUGAAAUGCGUAGAGAUGUGGAGGAACACCAGUGGCGAAGGCGAGCCUCUGGACAGUUACCGACGCUGAGGCACGAAGGUCAGGGGAGCAAACGGG
rnacentral:rRNA from 1 species